UGCUACAGCCAUAUCACCCUGCAGCCCAAGACUGGUUACUCACUGAAGCUAAGCAGGGCUGAGCCUGGUCAGUACCUGGAUUGGGAGACCAUAUGGGAAAACUAGGUUGCUGUUGGAA
rnacentral:rRNA from 1 species